rnacentral:lncRNA from 1 species
ACGGUAUUGUUCAUUGUGGCAAAGCUUAAAUCACUACAGCAUGGACGUAACUCUAUCUCUUCUCUUUUCCAUGACACUUUGAGGCCCGCCCAAACUCCACUCAUCGGGUACGUAUCCUUAGAUGAUGUCAACCGAAAAUUAUGCCGCAGGGAUGUGUCGCAAGGACGCUGGGGCGUCUCACCUGUUGGCAUAAAUAGCCAGUCUCGACAGAAGCGAACCUCAGACUCAGCAUCCGACACACCUGGGAAACAGCGCUCAGCACACCUGAAGAGUGAAUACAAGCCGACUCGGGAUAUUUAUCUGAAACAUACUUACACAAGACACAAAUUCAUUUUUUGAGAGAUGGAUAGAUUUCUCCGCGUUUUCCUUGUGCUGUCCUGUCUGAUGUUGGCCGUGCAAGGCUUGACUGUGGGCACACUCAAUGUAAGAUUUAUUUUGUCUAAUUUGUUCCUCUUUCCAAUCAUGUCUUUUUUUUAUUAGGGCUAUUAUUGUUUUUUUUUUUAAUGUUUUCAAUUUCCUCUGAUUACUGUUCAUUUGUUCUACUAGUAUAUUUUUAUUUCUUUUCAACAUAUUGUCUCUCACGCAGAUUUGCAAACCCCCUUGAGUGUGAAGGUGGAAAAGGGUGCUUCUGAUCAAAUAAAAUUGUUCAAAAAAAUCAUGCUUUUGCCUCUCAGGAAACCGUGACCAGAUCUUCCUGUGGGACUGAUCGCGCAUGUUUCUCUACUCCAGCGGACUGCGACCCCACAACGAAUAGCGCGUGUCUGUUGGUCUCCACCAGAUCAUCCAGUAGCGGCCUGGACUUUGAACUCCGCGGAGAAUCCAGCGGCUACAUUGCCGUAGCUUUAUCAGUUGACACCACCGCCGGAGGCAACGACAAAACCUACAUUUGCGCUAACUCUAACGGCACUGCCACGUUCUUCUUUGCCCUCCUGAACAACAACACCCUAGAGAUUCAGAAUGACACUACGAGCAUCAGUAAUGUGUCCGCUUCAGUCAACUCGACCACCAUCCAGUGUGUGUUUGCUGUGACUGGCCUAAACGCAUCAAUGUCCCGUAGCGCUGACAACACCUUUGCUGUCGUACUGGCCACAGGGACUCUUUCUUCUGAUGGUACACCUUCAACCCCAACUGUGAAGACGGUCACCGCUCUGCUGGACCUGUCCAACCCAAGUAGCAGCAACACAGCCACAGUAACUACUGCUCCCAACGUUACAACUGAUGCCAACGCUACAACCGCUGCCACCACCACCACCACCACGGCCACAACCACAACAGUCUCAGGGGCGAACAUUGGUCUGCAACACAGUCUUUCACAAGCUCUGUUGAUUCUCUUCGGCGUCCUGGCCAUCAGUCUGUUGUGAGUCUUCCCGAGAGGCCCACAUCGCCUGUUGACAGGAAACGAUGCAUUGCUUCCCCCCACUGCCAAAGACUACAGCCUGCCUGACAGCGUCCUGCCACAGGACCAUCACUAUAUGAUGGCUACCCAUCACAUCUUAUUUAUUCAUUCAUUUCCACUC